rnacentral:ncRNA from 1 species
GAAGCUGGGGAGCCCAUUGUGGCUGAGACUGAACCCAUGGAACCUGAUCUGGUUAAUGCCAGCGGAGGGAGU